UUCACUUUGCAGGAACUUUUAUAAUUCUGACCUGUUUGUUCCCCAGGACCACCACGGGCAGCUGGGGUUGCACCCGCAGGAGGCGGUGCAGCUCCAACUUUGCCAGCGGGAGGCGACCGCGAUCAGACGAGUCCACCACAUAGACCAGCACGAAGUCCAGCUGACAAGCGGGCGCGCUGAGGCUGACGAAGUUGAAGCCUCGGGUGGGCCGGCAGUGGCCCCUCUUGCCCCCACUGGGCGUCAGACCCUGGAGCACGCUGCUCUUGCCGGCUCCGUCCAAGCCGAGCACCAGCACCUGCCGCUUCCUGGGGUCCUCUUUCUCCUGCCGACGGGUAGAUGAAAACGUCAGGCAUCUCGUUGACGUUAUGUGUUGCCUAUGCGCUUGCGAUGAUGAGUAAACGGCCAAACGACAAAUGCAAACAAGCAGUCUCGCGGCACACCGCGGGAUCAACUUCGAACUGUAACAAGACGCGGUUCAGGAUUUUUUUUUUUUGUCUGUCUCGGCUAUGCGGCAUUAUCAGCACGGACUUUGUGCAGAAUGGUUCUUGCGUCACACGUUCGGCUAUUUCCUCAUCAACAAAUGGAGCAAAUGAAACUAUACAAAUAUGCAAUCAUACAUUAGGCCAAACCCUACCAAUUGAAUAAAGUUUAAAUUUUAUUUCACACGCUAUUUUUUUUUUUUUAGAUUUUAUUUACCUGUAAUGAUUUUUGAUGUACAGCAUAGGUCACUAUUGACUGAUCAACACAGUGCCACAGUGUAUUCAAAUUGUGUGUGAGAUGUUUAUUAAUUCCCAUCACUUGGUGAGGUGGUUUCCCUGUCAGAUAUAAAAAGACAUUAUGAAUAAACAACAGUACAGCACUGACUUUAGCGUCCAAUCAGAUUGCCGGGACACCAGACCGCAUGGAAAAUGACACUUUUACCACAUUGCUCGAAAAAAAAAACAAGUUUGAAACAAUCUUGAUGUUGAGGAGUAAACUGGAAGCUUUUUACGC